AUGACCUCAAGAAAACCCAAUACUCCACUUUCACCACCACCCAACAUUCCACGGCCACCACCACCGCCACCACGGGCUCAACAUCGUCAUGAACCCCCAAACAUAGAAAACCUUCCACCACCACCGCCGCCUCAGCAGCAACCACCACCACGACAUCCACCUAACAAUGAACCACGACGACGACUGAGGAGGAGGAUCUACUUGAUGUCCGUGGUAGGCCACGUUAUUUUGGGUGCCGUGGUAGGUGUUCUUGUUCAUUAG